GAUGAACGCUGGCGGCGUGCCUAAUACAUGCAAGUCGAGCGAACAGACGAGGAGCUUGCUCCUCUGACGUUAGCGGCUGACGGGUGAGUAACACGUGGAUAACCUACCUAUAAGACUGGGAUAACUUCGGGAAACCGGAGCUAAUACCGGAUAAUAUAUUUAACCGCAUGGUUCAAUAGUUAAAGACGGUUUUGCUGUCACUUAUAGAUGUAUCCGCGCCGCAUUAGCUAGUUGGUAAGGUAACGGCUUACCAAGGCGACGAUGCGUAGCCGACCUGAGAGGGUGAUCGGCAACACUGGAACUGAGACACGGUCCAGACUCCUACGGGAGGCAGCAGUAGGGAAUCUUCCGAAAUGGGCGAAAGCCUGACGGAGCAACGCCGCGUGAGUGAUGAAGGUCUUCGGAUCGUAAAACUCUGUUAUUAGGGAAGAACGACUGUGUAAGUAACUAUGCACGUAUUGACGGUACCUAAUCAGAAAGCCACGGCUAACUACGUG
rnacentral:rRNA from 1 species